CCUUAGUACGAGAGGACCGGGAUGGACAUACCUCUGGUGUACCAGUUGUCGUGCCAACGGCAUAGCUGGGUAGCUAUGUAUGGACGGGAUAAGUGCUGAAAGCAUCUAAGCAUGAAGCCCCCCUCAAGAUGAGAUUUCCCAACUUCGGUUAUAAGAUCCCUCAAAGAUGAUGAGGUUAAUAGGUUCGGGGUGGAAGCAUAGCGAUAUGUGGAGCUGACGAAUACUAAUCGAUUGAAGACUUAAUCAAAUUUC
rnacentral:rRNA from 1 species